CCUACGGGAGGCAGCAGUAGGGAAUAUUGCUCAAUGGGGGAAACCCUGAAGCAGCAACGCCGCGUGGAGGCUGAAGGUUUUCGGAUUGUAAACUCCUUUUGUUAGAGAAGAUAAUGACGGUAUCUAACGAAUAAGCACCGGCUAACUCCGUCCCAGCAGCCGCGGUCAUACGGAGGGUGCAAGCGUUACUCGGAACCACGGGGCGUAAAGAGCGCGUAGGCGGGAUAGCAAGUCAGAUGUGAAAUCCUAGGGCUUAACCAUAGAACUGCAUUUGAAACUGUUCUUGUAGAGUAUGGGAGAGGUAGGUGGAAUUCUUGGUGUAGGGGUAAAAUCCGUAGAGAUCAAGAGGAAUACUCAUUGCGAAGGCGACCUGCUAGAACAUAACUGACGCUGAUGCGCGAAAGCGUGGGGAGCAAACAGGAUUAGAUACCCUUGUAGUC
rnacentral:rRNA from 1 species